UUGACCUCGGAUCAGGUAGGGGUACCCGCUGAACUUAAGCAUAUCAAUAAGCGGAGGAAAAGAAACCAACAGGGAUUGCCUCAGUAACGGCGAGUGAAGCGGCAAGAGCUCAA
rnacentral:rRNA from 1 species